CUGAGAACAACCUGGUCCCCCCAUAGCAAAACACCAACUCAAAGAACGAAAGAAAAAAAAGAGUGAGUUCAUCAAUGGCUGCUUCAACUGCGACUGCCCCAACUGACCGCAUAGAUGUGUUCUGGGACUCAGGCAUGCUCAACCAUAACUCAGGCAAUGGAGUAUUCGACACUGGAAUGGAUCCUGGGUUUCUGGACGUGUUAGAAAAGCACCCAGAGAACUCUGACAGAGUCAAAAACAUGGUUUCUAUUCUAAAGAGAGGCCCUAUCUCUCCCUACAUUUCUUGGCUCCCAGGAAGGCCUGCUCUACUCUCUGAAUUGCUCUCUUUCCACUCUUCAGAGUACAUAAAUGAACUAGUUGAAGCAGAUAGAGAUGGGGGUAAGAUGCUCUGUUCUGGGACUUUCUUGAAUCCCGGAUCAUGGGAUGCCUCGCUUCUUGCUGCCGGUACUACAUUAUCAGCAAUGAAGCAUGUACUUGAUCGACAUGGAAAAAUUGCUUAUGCAUUGGUUAGGCCUCCGGGUUACCAUGCUCAGCCUACUCGAGCAGAUGGCUUCUGCUUCCUGACAAUGCCGGUCUUGCUGUUCAAUUGGCUUUAAAUUCUGGCUGCGCAAAGGUUGCGGUCAUAGACAUCGAUGUUCAUUAUGGAAAUGGGACUGCUGAGAGAUUCUAUAGGUCUGAUAAGGUUCUUACAACCUCCCUUCAUAUGCAUCAUGGUUCAUGGGGUCCAUCUCACCCACAGAAUGGCUCAAUUGAUGAGCUCGACGAAGGGGAGGGAUUUAAUUAUAAUUUGAAUAUACCUCUACCAUAUGGGACAGGGGACCGUGGAUACAAGCAUGACAUGACUGAGUUGGUUGUACCUGCAAUCCAAAAGUUUGAGCCUGAAAUGAUGGUUCUGGUAGCUGGCCAAGAUUCAAGUGCUGACAUAGAGCUGAGCAUGAGGUUCUGUUCCUGA